rnacentral:rRNA from 1 species
GACGAACGCUGGCGGCGUGCCUAAUACAUGCAAGUUGAGCGCUGAAGGUUGGUACUUGUCCCAACUGGAUGAGCAGCGAACGGGUGAGUAACGCGUGGGGAAUCUGCCUUUGAGCGGGGGACAACAUUUGGAAACGAAUGCUAAUACCGCAUAAAAACUUUAAACACAAGUUUUAAGUUUGAAAGAUGCAAUUGCAUCACUCAAAGAUGAUCCCGCGUUGUAUUAGCUAGUUGGUGAGGUAAAGGCUGACCAAGGCGAUGAUACAUAGCCGACCUGAGAGGGUGAUCGGCCACAUUGGGACUGAGACACGGCCCAAACUCCUACGGGAGGCAGCAGUAGGGAAUCUUCGGCAAUGGACGAAAGUCUGACCGAGCAACGCCGCGGGAGUGAAGAAGGUUGUCGGAUCGUAAAACUCUGUUGGUAGAGAAGAACGUUGGUGAGAGUGGAAAGCUCAUCAAGUGACGGUAACUACCCAGAAAGGGACGGCUAACUACGUG